rnacentral:tRNA from 1 species
ACCUGGCAGGCUCAGUCGGUAGAGCAUGUGACUUCUGAUCUUGGGGUCGUGAGUUCAAGCCCCACGUUGGGUA